GCAUAAUGGGGAGCUGGCUGAAGGGGGUGCUGAGCCCAAGGAUCCACCCCCUCCCGGGCCCCAUUCUGAGGACCUUAAGGUGCCCCCGGGAGUAGUCAGAAAGUCUCGUCGUGGCCGUAGGAGAAAAUACAACCCUACCCGGAACAGCAAUAGCUCCCGCCAGGACAUUACCUUGGAACCCAGCCCUACAGCCCGACUGUCCCUCUGCCUCCCCGGGCCCGCCCUGGCCGUCCUGCCAAAAACAAGAGGAGGAAACUGGCCCCAUAGCAGCCAUACCUGGAGCUGGAUCUGACCCUGAUUGGGGAGAGCUGAGUGCUGAGCCUUGGGAGCCCCUGCCAGCCACCUGCACCUGUGGACAGUGGGUGGGGGCACUACUCCCCACUCAGAGCACAAAUGCAACUCCUUCCCCUACAAUCCCAUCCUGAGCCAUUGCAGGGGGCAGGGAAGUUCACCCCCCCCCACCACCCCCCCGCCCCCCCGAAGCCAUGUCACUGAAAAGGCCUGGGGGGGAUGGUAUAUGGCCCUUUCCCCACCAGGCGCUAAGGGGAACACCCCCUUCCCCAGGUCUUUUAUUUGUUUAAGUUAUUUUUGCACAAAUGACUCUUUUAUAUUUAAUUCGAUUUCAUUGCCUCCCUUCUUAAAGCCAACAGGCUCAGUUUACAAACCUGUGAGCUACUGUUGGCUGCUGCCCUCCUUCCCAGUGAAAGGUACAAAGCAAUAAGCAUCAUGCAUCCUCCCCUUACCCCUCCAACACCCCUCUGCCUCUGGCUCAGGUUGCUCAAAGCACAGAUCCUCUCUUACCCCGUCCCCAGGUUUGAAACACAUAGCCUCAUUUCAAGGUGUAGCCAGGUUCCCCCGACUUUCCUCUGGGAUAUAAAAAAGGGGGUAAGGGGGCAAAGAGAGCCCUCUGGGCCUCUCCUCCCAUACACACUACACUGCCCCUUCUCCCCCCAUCAAAACGCUCAGAGACGUUGUGAUGAUGCGACUGAGGAUUAUGCAACGUGGUCCAACCGGAGCGGCCAGCAUGACCAGCUGUCCAGGGGCUGCCUCCUGCCUUUUCUUUUGUAAAGACAAGACCCUUGGGAGUUUUAAUUCUGUUUUGUACUUGCCCUGUGGGGCCUCCACUGCUUUUCUAUGGGAGACACUCUUAAUUUAACAGAUGAGAAUAUUUUGAA
rnacentral:lncRNA from 1 species